GUUAUGUUCAUUAUUUUGGAAUUAGAAAAGUCGUAUUCUUAACUUACGAAAUAUGACUUCCUUCUAAAGCCGAGAUAAUCAAAUAUUUACU
rnacentral:pre_miRNA from 1 species